rfam:Canis lupus familiaris chromosome 17, whole genome shotgun sequence.
CCAACGGCCCUUUUUAGGGCCAACCAUUUUGUCUUCAGAAGAGCUG